GACCUUCUGAUUAGUGGCUGACCUGCUCUGCCACCUGAGCUACAGCCACCCCAAAUAACUAAUUGUCUGUUAUUUGGGGUAUUGUUAAUGUUUUUUCACUACAUCCACAUUGUGACUGAUGGUGAUGUGAUUGAUGAAAGAUGAGGACCCAAGUUAGUAAAUGAAAGUCUGAAACUCAUAUCUUUGCUGUCAAUAGUCAACAAAAAGAGAUCAAAUGAUGAAAUCAAAGCAAACAAACAAAAUAGCAAAUGCCGGGAACAGAAGAGAGAGCGGGAAAAGGCUUACGCCAUAGGUCAAGGAUCAGGCACACACGCACACACACAUUUAAAUAAGCACGUGCAAUGCAGUUUAAAAAAUGUUAUUAAUGCCAACAAGCGAAAGUGAGGAGUGAAAGGUUUAAUGUAAAUCAGAAAAAAUCAAUAAAAGACAAAAGCUCAGUUAAAUAUUAAAUUCAAUUUUUAUAUUAUUUAAAAAUGUUAUAUUAUAUAAAUGGCGUUAAUGAGGAAGGAUAGAAACAGUGUUGCACUGUCCUCCACUUUAAAAAUGGAAAUAGUUGGCAUGUAUGUCUAAAAUGUGAACACUCAUUGGGAAAGGUAAUAAAUGCAAUGUGACGCAACCAGAAAUAAAUCAACUGUAACAUGUGAUUGAUCUCUGCUUUCACCCACCUGUUUAUUGGUCGGGGUAGAAAAUAAACAUAUUGGUCUGCAGUUUCAGAUAUAUAAACCAGCCACACGUCAGACCUAGACAGACUUAGCAACUUAAACCUAUGAUGCUGUCAUUGCUGUUGUUGCUGGCUCUAUCCUCAGCCAGCCCUCAGGACAUCGUGAAGAAGCACUCAGAGGACAGAAAUGGCGUGUGCGGCCUCAGAGCUCUAAUGCGCAUGGAAUUUUCUUGGAAGAGCUGCCACAGUCAUAAAGGUUUAAGAGUAUGCAAAAACCAAAUCUCUGAGAGAUGCAACCAGAAGACGGAUGAGAAACA